AUUGAACGCUGGCGGCAGGCCUAAUACAUGCAAGUCGAACGGUGUCUUCGGACAUAGUGGCGCACGGGUGCGUAACACGUAUGCAACCUACCUUACAUUGGGGGAUAGCCUUUCGAAAGGGAGAUUAAUACCGCAUAAGACAGUAACUAGGCAUCUAGUAGCUGUUAAAGAUUUAUCGAUGUAAGCUGGGCAUGCGUCCAAUUAGCUAGUUGGUGAGGUAACGGCUCACCAAGGCAAUGAUUGGUAGGGGAACUGAGAGGUCAAUCCCCCACACUGGCACUGAGAUACGGGCCAGACUCCUACGGGAGGCAGCAGUAGGGAAUAUUGGGCAAUGGACGCAAGUCUGACCCAGCCAUGCCGCGUGCAGGAUGAAGGCGUUAUGCGUUGUAAACUGCUUUUAUACAGGAAGAAACGACUCUUGCGAGAGGCAUUGACGGUACUGUAUGAAUAAGCACCGGCUAACUCCGUGCCAGCCGCCGCAGUAAUAC
rnacentral:rRNA from 1 species